GCAAACUUGGUCAUUUAGAGGAAGUAAAAGUCGUAACAAGGUUUCCGUAGGUGAACCUGCGGAAGGAUCAUUCACAAUGAGUGUAUAAUGGCACUCUUCAAAAUCCAUUACCCACCUUGUGUGCAAUGUCGAGAGAGGGAAACGCGUCAAAAACGCGUGUUUUCCCUCUCUUCUCAUACAUACUCGUUUUUUUGCAGUAUCAGUCUACAUGAGUAAUUUAAAAAAAACUCAAAAUACAACUUUCAACAACGGAUCUCUUGGCUCUCGCAUCGAUGAAGAACGCAGC
rnacentral:misc_RNA from 1 species